rnacentral:tRNA from 1 species
NCAGAGGUGGUCAACGCUCUCGUCUGAAAAACGAGUUAUGUCGGUUCGACUCCGACUCCCGGCA